rnacentral:miRNA from 1 species
ACUCUCAUCGACCGAGAGGGUUUCCUCUUGGCCGGUGAAAGAGUACCCUCUCAUGUACACUCUCAUCGACCAAGAGGGAUUCCUCCCGGCCGGUGAGAGU